rnacentral:rRNA from 1 species
AAUCAACGCUGGCGGCGUGCCUAACACAUGCAAGUCGAACGAGAAAGUGGAGCAAUCCAUGAGUAAAGUGGCGACCGGGUGAGUAACACGUGACUAACCUACCCUAGAGUGGGGGAUAACCUCGGGAAACCGGGGCUAAUACCGCAUAACAUCACGAGGGGAAGAUCCUUGUGAUCAAAGGAGCAAUCCGCUGAAGGAGGGGGUCGCGGCUGAUUAGUUAGUUGGUGAGGUAACGGCUCACCAAGACGAAGAUCAGUAGCCGGCCUGAGAGGGCGCACGGCCACACUGGAACUGAAACACGGUCCAGACUCCUACGGGAGGCAGCAGUGGGGAAUCUUGCGCAAUGGGGGAAACCCUGACGCAGCAACGCCGCGUGGAGGAUGAAGUCCCUUGGGAUGUAAACUCCUUUCGAUCGGGACGAUUAUGACGGUACCGGAAGAAGAAGCACCGGCUAACUCUGUGCCAGCCGCCGCUGUAAAAC